UUGACGAAAAUGCCCUCAACUAAACAUCUUCUUCUGUUCCCUUUUUGCCCCUUCCCCUCCGCUGCGAACGUUUCGUUCGCUCAGAGAAUGCGUCCAUUUUCAGUCCAUUUCGAACCAGCUGGUUUGGGGGCAGCCAUGGAAGAUCUGCCUUCAUUGUUAGACAUGCGUGGGGGGCCGUCGAUUUUCGUUUGGGAGGUGCGCUGCAAAUCCAGCCGCACUUUAGUCUUCGUCUCACAGAUUUGUGGUCGGGAGAUUUCUCGUCGUUUCUACAGCCUUCGACUCAGACGUCUUCCAUCUUUCUUGCUUGCGAGUUUUUGCAUCCUUUGUCUUCAGGAAGGGGAUUGAAUCUCACAGAUUAGCUCAGGUGCUCUUUUGUUGCUUUGGAUAGAGCAGUUUGGUUGGUGUUUUCAGUUAUGUUAAGCAGGAGGUGCUGUAUAUGUAACACCCCGACCCUCAUUUUUAUAUCCAAUUAAUUAUUUAAUUAAUUAGAUUAAGAAAUUACAAUUUUACCCUUGGGGAUAGGGGUAUUUUGGUCACUUUUUAAUCCGGAAGGUUUUUGGGAAAAUGAGUGGUACCGUUGCGUAGAGCUCGUCUAUACGAGUUCGUAGACAUGUGGCAUGCCCAAUUCCGACUUGUAACGAAGGAGAAAAAGUUUGAAAACAAAAGGGACGUAUAUGGAAUUUUUUUUAAAUUGUACUGUAGCAACAGUACCGUGCUACAGUACCGGGCAGUUUUAUUCUUUUUCUUUUUCUUUUUUUCUUCUUCUUCUUCUUCUUCCUCUCUCCCUUCGCGCAGAAGACAAACCCCCCCUGUUACUGUUCACCGCCGGGGUUUUUGGGCCACCACCGUCGCAUCCGGCCACCACUUGGGGUGACACCAGUCCCAAAAGAACCGGGCCACCUCCCUCUUUCCAUCUUGACCGAUCUCAGCCGCUGGAACCACCUGUGAUCGCCGGAAAAUGCAAAAAUCCGAUCGGUUUUAACCCAAAAUUCACGGAGCUCGUUUGGGUGAUUCCGGGCACCAAAACUUGCGAUCUUGGCCCGUCGGAGUUUGUCCAAGCCCUUCGGAGAUUUAUUUUGCCCAGGCUCGUCGGAGUUUGUCUAGGCCAUUCGGAGAUUUAUUUUGCCCAGGCCCGUUGGAGUUUGUCUAGGCCAUUCGGAGAUUUAUUUUGGAGAUUUAUUUUGCCUAGGCCCGUCUGAGUUUGUCCAAGCUCUUGGGAGAUUUAUUUUGCCCAGGCCCGUCGGAGUUUGUCCAGGCCCAGGCCCACUCUUAACCCAACCUCCAUCUUUAAAGUUGACAGGACCCGCCCCGAACUCCUCGAAACCUAAGACGAAUCCUAUGGAAAUCCCGACAUCACCCCGAUGUCAAGCCCACUCACUGAAACUAUAUCCUCUUUUCCCAAAAAGGAAUAAGGGCACGAGACUUUCCACCGAAAAUUCGGCAGUCUCCCCUGUAAAUUGAACAUUCCCCAAAUUUCAACCUGCACAAAAUUCACAUUUUAAUGUCCCAACAGGCAGCACGCACAA